rnacentral:rRNA from 1 species
CACAGAAGAAGCACCGGCUAACUCCGUGCCAGCAGCCGCGGUAAUACGGAGGGUGCGAGCGUUAAUCGGAAUUACUGGGCGUAAAGGGUUCGUAGGUUGUUUAUUAAGUUGUCUGUGAAAUCCCUGGGCUUAACCUGGGCAGGUCAGACAAGACUGAUAGACUCGAGUAUGGGAGAGGGUAGUGGAAUUUCCGGUGUAGCGGUGAAAUGCGUAGAGAUCGGAAGGAACACCAGUGGCGAAGGCGGCUACCUGGCCUGAUACUGACACUGAGGAACGAAAGCGUGGGGAGCAAACAGGAUUAGAUACCCUGGUAGUCCACGCUGUAAACGAUGUCAACU